CAGUAGCCACGGUAAUACAGAGGGUGCAAGCGUUAAUCGGAAUUACUGGGCGUAAAGCGCGCGUAGGUGGUUUGUUAAGUUGGAUGUGAAAUCCCCGGGCUCAACCUGGGAACUGCAUCCAAAACUGGCAAGCUAGAGUAUGGUAGAGGGUGGUGGAAUUUCCUGUUUAGCGGUGAAAUGCGUAGAUAUAGGAAGGAACACCAGUGGCGAAGGCGACCACCUGGACUGAUACUGACACUGAGGUGCGAAAGCGUGGGGAGCAAACAGGAUUAGAUACCCCAGUAGUCCCUGUCUCUUAUAC
rnacentral:rRNA from 1 species